rnacentral:rRNA from 1 species
UACGAAGGGGGCUAGCGUUGCUCGGAAUCACUGGGCGUAAAGCGCACGUAGGCGGAUUGUUAAGUCAGGGGUGAAAUCCUGGAGCUCAACUCCAGAACUGCCUUUGAUACUGAGGAUCUUGAGUUCGGGAGAGGUGAGUGGAACUGCGAGUGCAGAGGUGAAAUUCGUAGAUAUUCGCAAGAACACCAGUGGCGAAGGCGGCUCACUGGCCCGAUACUGACGCUGAGGCACGAAAGCGUGGGGAGCAAACAGGG